UUUUUUUUUUUUUUUUUUUUGGUCGGUAUCAUAUUCAAAUUUACCUGAUAAUUGGGGGUGGGAAGGUCGAGGUGAGAGGUAACACUAUCUAGUUCUUACAUUUCUUUCAGGGAAAUGGAAGGGUACAAUCUAGGAUCUACGGUUUUAUAGUAUUCAUUGAGUUGGAGUUGGGAGAUAAUUGUACAAUUUUGCUAAAUUUGGUCGGAGGUUUCGGAGACAACAACGUUCAUAACACAAGUUGCUAAUUCUGCUUUGUAGUAAAUUUGCGGAAGCUAUCCCAACCACUUAACGUCUGAGGAUGGGCGGUGAGACAAGAACUGGGACAAAUUAUUGACAAAGUCAAACAAGAAACGCUGGACCAAGCAAACUGCAAAAGUAUCCAUUCCUACCAAUUACCAAUGAGGCAAUCACAGCCGCCACGCGCUCCAGUAAUAAAUUCAAGUUACGAGUAUUAAUAGUUACACAUGAUUUUGCUGCCGACGACCCAUGCUCCACAAUAUACAUGGGAGUAUAAAUUAUUUCGUCGAGAAAAUAUUUUUCCCACCCAUCAAUCGAGAAAACUAUUUUUGUGGUUAAAAGCAAAGUGAAAAAAUUUUCCAGCCCAUCAAUUGAGAAAACUAUGAAUCAGCACAUAGGAUGUUCAUAAUUAUAUAUAUUCUCGCGAUCGAUCGCCUAUUGUCUUUUUCCAUUACAAAAAAAAAAAAAAAAAAAAAUCUCCUGUUCUAUCUUAUUGCCAACUUGAAAAUUCAGAAGCCUUGUUGAUUUUUUCUUUUUUAUUUUUAUUUUGGUGGAGAGAGCACCGACACAAGAUCUUUGCUCUUUUGCCUUCGUUACCAUACUGACAAUUUAUCCUUGUUUAAAGUAAAUUUUACUGUCAAUUUAUCUUGUUUAGCAUCAAGAAGUAAGCAGCAUUCGACUAGCACAAACACAAUGGUAAAUCACUUUUAUAUUAAUGACACGAACAAUCCACAUGGCUACAACAGACUCAUUUACUUCUUCAAAUCGGCCAACGCCAAAGCCUUCACAAGUUUUCCUCCUACUGCAUUAAACUCCAUGCAACGCGGCUAUUGGACAAGAAAGAUAUUCAUACAUAUGCAUAACCUUUAUACAUGGCAGCACCAAAUUUAACGAACCUCUGAACCAGCCCCACCACCUCCCUUAAAUUCCUAUAAUAUUCCCGUAAAAUUUUGAUAUAAUUUCAACUAUGCCGCUCGAAAUUUUAAGAAAGUGAAAAAAUUAUGUGAUUUUCUAAAUUAGUUCAUGAAUUAAUAUUUUAAAAGGAUAUCUGGAUCACAAAAUUUCAUUUGAAAUAAACUACAAAAGACUUUUCAUUUUAACUAAUUGAUGAAUAUUUUUUUUGCUUCAAAAAUUAGAAAAAGAGCCAAUAAAACAUUUUGAUAUUAUUACUUUUACCCCCACUGAAAAUUUUUUCUGGCUCUGCUCCGAACCACAAAACCCAUGUCAAGAUUUUGGCAGCUAUAAUUCAUAAACUUCACCAAAUUAUACGCUCUGGAGAGUCAAAUCAGCAGAUUUGGAGCAUUUAUAGUACAAAGAGAUGCCAACUUAAGAACAUUAUUACUACUUGGCAGAUAUGGAGAAUAUGACAGAUGAUAAGAUGAUUGACUAUUGUAGCAUUUAUUGGGCAUGUGAUUGUGGAUUUUCUGAAGCUGGUGCAAUUAAUUUCUAGCAGAGUAGUUGAGCAACAUUAGAAAGAGAUGCUGAACUGGUCAAAACUCCAAGAAAGGGCAACAAGCUUGAUCUACAACAAUUAGGGCUGCAAUGGUUGCCGUAUCUCUUUCACUUGCACCGAUGGAUGCUUUACCCUUUUUUCUGCUGGGGGACAAAACUGUCAAAAAAUAACAAUAAUCUUGUGCAUAGGUCCCUCAUACACGUUCAGUUCUUCCAGAUUCCGGGCCACUUUAGCGUGCUAUGAGGAGCAGGGAAACACCAUUUGUUGCUGAUAAAAACGCGCGCAAUAACUCGAGAAGGUUUUCAUCUUCAAAAUACAUCAUGCAUGAGUGGAAUCCAACUUUGCAUACACUGGAUGCAGACACAGAAAUGAAAUCAGAAGGCCUUUUCCUCGUCUCCUCUUGAAGUUGAAAAAAGAAUAAUACAUCUAAGCAUAAAAUCAAACGAAGUUACUGCAGAAUUUAAGCUACUUGAUCAGCAGAAUACCAACUUUAACUUCUAUUUAACAGAAAGUAGUCAGACGAAAGGGAAAUAUUGCAGCUACUAGUUUUGUUUAAGCCCCAACAUUCAGCAGCAUUAGCUAAUAUACGAUUCAUGUCUCGAUAAGAUAAGCCACCAGCUUUGACGGACAGACAAGUUAAUUAAUUAAUAACCAAAAAGAUUGAUCACAGAAUAAGCCAAGCCUUUCCUGGAACUCAAAAUGAAUCCAAUCCCUGCUGAGUGUAAGGAGCCCUCGCACAAGCGUGAAUUGUGGUAAGCAAUGCUUCAUGAGCAAACACUGUCAAGAAGGAAAUACAGAUUGCAUAUCGCAGCAUGGUGAUUAAGCAUUCCUAAUCGUUUACAGUAAUCACAACAACAUCUGAAAUUCUAAGUUGUGAAUGUAAAUGUACCUAUCCUUGACUUGAGCUCUUAUCUUGGAAAAAAGAUAGUCAACAGGUAGAAUUGAUAAUACAAUAGGAGUUGAACUCUUACAAUUUCAAAUGAGGAUGUAAAUUUAAAAAAAAAACACACACACACAUAUUCGGCUCUUUCAGUUUUUUGGAGCUGCUUUAGCAUGUAGCAGGGAGCAGCGUAACAUCAAUUACUUGUUGCUGAUCAAGACAUUCGUAAUACUCCAGUUAAUGAACUUAAGAAAGGUUUGCAUAUUCAAUAUACAUCAUCCAAGAACGGAAGACAACUUCAAACAAAGUUCUGCCAAUAGAAGCUAUGUGUGAUGCAGAAAAUUUCAGCCCAUGGAAUUGGAAUCAAAAAGACCUUCUGUCUCCUCUUGGAAGUGUUGAACAUAAUUCACAAGAGGUUAGAAUCAAAGUUCAGGCAAAACUUAAUUUGCUUCAUCAGAAAAUAGAACUUCAACUUCUAUAUCUAUAAGAAAAUAGUCAGCCAAAAGGAAAAUCUAGCAGCAAGUGGGGCUAUUUUGAAUGACUAGCAGGACCUUCUUUAUGCCACUUGAGCCAAGUAUAAUUACAGCAUUUAGCAGCAUUAGGUAAUAAAGUUUGGUGACAUAUAGACAGCAGCUCAAAAUCAUUUCUUUAUUGUUAUUUAGAAUGCUUGCAGUGCUUUGCCGGAAAAGAUGCAUCAGCUACUUAUGAGCUCAAAGUCUAUCCAGAUAUUAAUUUAGUAAACAGGGGUCACGUAGAAAAAGAUGAUAGUCUAGGGACUGAAUUAUCAAAUUGAAGUUCAAGAUGAAAAGUAUUGCAAGUAUAAUAAUGCGAGGAUGCAAAAUGGAAUCAGUCUUUUCUAAUUCAAUUUUCUUUUCUCAUUUUACUCUCAGAUUUGCACUCUGGAAGUUCUCAUUCAGCCCUAGUCAUGUAUAAAAUUAACUUAAAAAUAGAAAGAAUACAUGGAUAGAAAAUCAUGAAACUUUCAAAGCAUGAAACUUUUCACAUCUCUAUGAUUCUUAAUGUAACAUGACCAGAGUCUAAGGUUGAAGGUGAGGGCCUUUAGCUAUGAGGAACCAGUUUGUAGGACAACUCCAGUCAAUGUGAAUAUGUAAUCUGUCCAAAUUUGUUGAUACUACAUUUAAAAGAACAAUAAGAUAGAUGGCAUUUAGAAUCCUAUAAGAAAAUCAUGAUUGAACUUUUUUUGAAAAGAAAGAAGUUACACAUAUUACUAUACUGGAAACAGGUUCUCAGACCAAUAUUAUAGCACAGACAUCUUAUUAAGAGAAAGCUGUAAUUUCAGAGAUGCAUCACAUAAUGUUAAGUUUCAAAUACACACAACCCAUAGCAAAUCAAGAGCAAAAUUGCAACUGACUUCCACUUACAAGAAACAAGCAGGAUGUGAUAUGAUUCUCAUGCGAAAAAAAGCGCACAUACACAAAGAAACCCAAAAGAGAGGAGCUUAUAUCCAUAUAAAAUGGUAGCAGACCAAAAGAUGCAUAUCACUGACCAAUAUGACACAAACUGAUACAAUCAUUAUGUGAAAUUCAUCAAACUAGCUCAGCAGGUAAACUACAUUAAAGUACGCCAGGCAUUUUUUCUGAGUCAUUAUAUUCAGGAUACAGACUCUUUAGGCUAUUGUUUACCAUAUUGGAGGGACAAUGAUCUGUUUGUGAAAGAUAAGGUUUAAAUCCUUUUUCAUCAGAAGACCUCACAUUAUUGCAUAUCUUAAUGUCGUUUAACAUAUCUUGACACCCAUAACACUCCUAACAUAAUAUUCUAGCAAAGCAAAACCUAUUGGUCAUAAAAACAGCAUGAUAAUCAUCCAAUUCUGCAUCUGUAAUAAUUUAGUUGCUAUUUGUUUCUUAAUGCAAUUUAUAAGCAUUUGAGAAAUAGAUACAUUCUCUUUGCAAUCUCUUAACAAGAUAUUCUCGAUGAAAAUGGAUCUGACAUAUGAUACCAAUAUCCAACACUUUGAAUUGAAAUCUUAAAUUAUGAUUAGCUGAGAGAAUUCAGACUAUGCACUGCACGUCACUGUACCAAAUUAUCGACCUCUGUCAAUCUCCCCACCCUUUGAAACAAGACAUACAGACAGAAGGCCAUAUUACCCAGCAACUAAGUCUUUAUCAAUGUCCCAGACGAAACAAGAGGAAAAGAAUAGUCCAAUAUGUUCCUUUAUCAUUUCUACACGAACAGAAUAAAUUGAAGAGAUAAGAAAACACAAGUUUGCAAUUGUCACAGUGAAUUCUGAGAUUCAGUCCAUUAGAAGAUUAAUAUCCCCCAAUGCUAAACGAGAAAGGUGCCCAACCCAUAUUGUUUCUCAUCAUAGCUUAUCCCUACCUAUACAUUAACUUUUAGAAGAUAAAUUUACUGACUAGAUUAAGAUAAUUUAGGCAAGUCGAAGGUAAAAACAAACUUAGUUAAAAUGACUGACUGAGGCUAGCAAAAGAAAGGGUUAGACUAAACAUUAUUAGGAAUGGUUUAACUAAAACAGAUUCAAGAUUUAUAACUAUACAGGAAGUAUUACACUAAAUAGAGCCAAAUGGAAGAACUGAACUCAUCUAGAAGAAAGAUUAAAGCUUGAAAGAUUACUGUGGUGGAACUCGAUUUGGGUUAAUUUAACAUGAUAUUGUUCAUGUUCUCACCGCUUAGAUCACCAUUCACUAGGUACCUAAGUAACAAAUUCAAGCAACAAUACAGAACAUAAGGCAUGCAGUUUCCAGUUAGCAAGGUUUUCAUUGAAAUGCCUCCCUAGAAAGCCAGUUUCACACAACCUAGAGCCAUUCGGCUUUCUGUACCAUUUAAUCUUUCACUUGACAAGCAAAUUGGAACAAAGGAAAAUUUAACCUCUCUAUAGUGAAAAAGUGAAAGUAACAUAACUCCAAGUUUACCCUCGGUGAUAAGAAGACUACUUACAAAACUAGGCAAACACAAAGAGGUUGUCUAUGCCACAUGAUUUGUGGCUUUUUGUUCCACUUCUACAAUUAGUUCAGAAUUCUGCUUUUUACCUUAUCUCCUUGAGCCAUUCUGACAUCAUUGGAUGCAGAAAUGUGUUUUUCCCAUUUAUUGUACCAGUUCAGUAAGGAAUUUCCAAAUUGUCCUUCGCCUUUCUUGUUUGUGAAAAGUUGGAGCUUUCUUCCUUUGCUAUUUUCUGAAAGUUGCCCACUGUACUAAUUUCAUCCUAUAAGCAAGAGUAUACUCCAUCCCCUGCCUUGGGAAGCUAUUGGCACAGUUUAAAAGCUCCAAGUAAGAGAUACACCUAUUGCAUAAAUGGUUUCUGUGAUUGAGCUCUAUGGAAGCCAUCUUUAGCUGCACACAUCCCAGAUUAAUACUUAUUUCUAGAAAUCUACAAUUCCCUCCGAAAUGUUAUGUGACUAUUUCAUGAAAUAGGAUAAGGAGUUGCAUACUUCCAAUAUAUCAUUCCUAGAAGACAAACCUUCCUUCAGAGUGGAUGAUGCCAGUAAAAUUGCUGCCCUUAAAUUCGGCAUAAACAUUUCAGAAGAACUCAGAACUUCAAAUUUGAUCAAAACCAUGAGUGAAGUGCCCCAAAUAUCAGAUGCAAAACUUAUAGUCAUGUUCCAUGAAGCUCCAAAAUUGGAUUCCCUUUUUUGCUCCCUUAUGUUUUUCAUAAACUUAACAACUUCUGCUUGAAUGAUAAGGGCAAGAAUAUAAAGAAACUGAUUCAUUAGGGCACGUAAAUCGACUUGAUCAACGUUAUCUACUCCAUGAAACAGCUUGGAAUUUAUACUCAUAAUCUGCUGAUAACAUUCUCAUAACUGUGAAAAUACAAAAGCUCAAGCAUAAUCUUAAAAUUCAAGUAGAUCAUUUCAUUUACUCCAAGCUUUUUUGUAGAGGUCUUAAUAACAACCAAAACUGCUUUUUGAUAACAUUUUGAAGUGACUACAGGAUAGACAUACACAAGCAAAAGGCGUCUUCAAACCCUGAAUUGUUCUCCCAUAAACUCACAAACAUGAGAUGAUCACAAGUCAGUUCUGCUAAAUGUCGAGGCAGUGUACUGUGCAGCCAUGUCCUUCAGAACUUGGAUCAAGCCCUUCAAGUCAUUCGUACCUAACUCAAGACAGUCCCUUAACAAGUCACCCUCCACCACCUCUUUCUGCAUUGUCUCAACAACUUCCCUAAAGGGUCCCUGCGCCAUACCCAUUAAAAACCUUUAAAAAAAUCAUCUUUACACGGAAAAACAGUGCUUUAUUUUAUAUUUCUAAUCACUUCCAUCUGUAAGCUGCUUACCAUGUUCCAGAAACUUGUACUUAAACUAGAAAAUAAUAAAAGAAAGAGAACUUCAUCCAAAAAUAAAUUCACUGAACUUAUUCAUUCAACUUGAUAUUUAAACAAUCAAUUAUUCCCAUAAUCACUGCAAUGAAACAUCUUUUAACACUAAGCACUAAUUCUGUUAAUUUUUGUCUAUUUUACAAACUUUACAAGCUCGAUUUUAAUGCUUUUCUUUGAACAUAUGGCUAUUUUCUACAAUACUUUAGCUCAUUCAUCAACUAAAAUCUUUCAAAACUUAGCUGAAGAGACCUUACCAUGUCACAUAAUAGCCAUACAAGAAAGUUUAACGAAAAUGGCACGCUUUAAUCUCUAAUUCAUAAAAAGAGCAUAAUUUUGGGCUCAUUGUUAUAAAAUAGUAAUUUGUACUCACUUUUCUACAAAAUUUACACUCUUUAUUUACAUUUAGCAAUUUGUAGACAUGUCCAUAAUUAUGCUUUUUUAACUAAGCAUCGCAUCCCCCCCUCCCCAAAAAAAACACACAUAUCAAUGCCAGGAGAAAAUUUUUAUUAGGUUUAAAUUGCAGAGGUUGGGGAAAUAAUAACUCAAAAAAAUAGAGAAAAAAAGCAUUACCGAUUGUCGAAAUAUUUUGAGGAGUUUAUCAAACAGCGACCUGGAAACGGUGAAGACUCUAUUAUAGUUUCGGCCGACCCAGGCGACUCGCUCGGAAUCAGAGCCGACUCGGGACAACUCGUUGAGCUCCCUGAGCAACUCGUUAAGGUCGGAAACGGCAAAGGAGAGGUCAGUUAUUGAGACCGUAUUGAUAUCCCGCCAGGCGUAAUUUUUAAGAUAGUCCGAACCGAGGUUCCAAGUGAAUUUCCAGAGGCCUAGUCCCUGAACUGACUCGAUUUUGUGCGCUAUAGUUCGGGCACGGGCUGAGCCCGUGAGGUCGCCUCGUGAGGCACGGAGGUUGGCAACUCGCACAGCGAGCGAGUGGGAUAGGGAAAGUAGAGUGCCGUAGUUGGAGAGAGGGAAGGAGAGGGAAAAAGUGGGUGAUGGUGCGAAGAGGAGGAAGAAGAAGAGGAGGAAAGAGAAGAGUUUGUUUUUCACGAGAGAAGUAAGCAUUGACUGAGAGAGAAGAGCAGCGCCGCUUUCCACGGUGGCGGUGCUGGAGGACCGGCGGUGGUUCGGAUCUUGGAGAAUGGCGGGGAACAUAGGCUCCGUGUAAUUAUAUCACAGGGUUAAUCACAUUUUAUCCCCUUAAAGAAUAUUUCAUUUCUCAGUUUACUCCCUAACCUUUAAUUUUGCUCACUUAACCAUCUGUAGGACAAAAUUACCAUUGCAUUAUUUUGACUUUUCAUUUACCUUGUUUUCCUUUCUUUUAUUUCUUUUUCUCUUUCUUCUUUAUUUAAUUCUUCCUCUUUCCCACAAAAAUCUUUAUCUUAAUGAUUGAAAUUAAAAAAAAUAAAUUACAGAGAUCUAUCUUCUCCUUAAAUGAUUAAAAAAAAUAUUCAAAUCACUUUCCUAAAAUACAAUUUUUUUAGCCUUUCAAUUCUUUUAAUUUUAAAUUUCUCUCUUUCAUUUCUAGUUUCUCAUUUUAUUUCCAAGAAAAUAUUUUAAGAUGAAAUUAUAAAAGUAUCUUAUUUUCCAUUUUGUGAUGUCUCAAAAUAUUUAUCUUAUUAAGAAAAUCAAGAUAUCUUUUAAUCUCUUUUUCUAAUAUAGUCUUUCUCUAUAAUCAUAUACGUGUUACUAUUCAAAUUCAAAUUUUGAAUUUGUAUGGAUAAAAUUGGAAAGAAAAAUACAAAUAUCACAAUCAAAUCACUAUUUUUUAAAAGUUGAAUUCCCAAAAUAUGAUUAAAUAAUUGGAACGAAGGAAGUAAUAAAUAAGACAUGCUCUAAUUAGAACAUGGGCUCCGUGAAUAACUAGAGCAUUAAUUAACUAUUAGUAAAUAAUCAACAAAAUAACUGUUGAGAAUUUCUUUAAUGGUGAACAGCGACAUAUAAUUAUAAAAUAACGCCAAUUGAUAUAUCAAAUGGCGCUAUUUUGUGAUCGAUAAAACUUGAUAAUGACAAGAAAUUAGUUGUAUACAAUAUCAGAAGAAAGCUUUGGUAGAAUUCAUGUGGAAAUUGUCUUUGAAACACUUGAAACUGUAGUAGUUGUAAAGAAAUUUUGCAAAAAUAAAGAAUAAAUGAGGGAAAAGAAAAGCAAAUUUUGAAUUUUUUUAAUUCAAAAUCACAAAAAUUGUAGCAAAACUUAUAUUAAGAGAGAUGACUGAAUUUGGCGAUCAUUAGUGUAGUUUUGUUGCUUAUUUAUGUUGUCUAAUGCAUUAAAUGUGAACUUUUUGAAUAGGGUAAUAUAUGUGUUAAUUGUUUCUAACUUUUAAUUACUUUCAUCCUUUUACUAAUAUAACUUAUAUAUAUGCAUAAGAAUCAUUUAUGAAAUAAAAGUUUCAUUUUUUCGCCAUAAAGUACAUAUUUAUUUUUACUUUUUUUGACUUAGACUAAUGUUGUUACCAAAACCCUAAUUUCAGAGGAGGUUUGUGUAAUUUUGCAAACUUUAGGGGAAGGUUAGUGAAAUUGUCAGAAAUCUCAGGGAAGGUUUCUAAAAUUAUCUCUUAAUAUUUUUUGUCAUGAUAAUUGGUACAAAACUUUUCAAGAAAAGAAAAAAAAAUUAAAGGCAAAUAAAUGAAAGAUUGAAUGUAGAUGGUGAUGAAACUUUGAAAAUAAAUAGUUUUAGUUGAAAUAGUUCUUUCUUUGAAUCUAUAGUAUUGCAUUCAACAUCUUGAAUAUUAAUUUUGUUAUUUAAAAGUUAAAAUUGAAUGAUAUUUAUGUAAUUUUUAACUAUAUAUUUUCAAAAUAUUUUUAUUUUAGUUAUUAUUCACUAUAUGUUCAGAAACAUAUCCACAUAUAUCUAUUAGAUAUUUAGACUCAUGAACGUCUAGGUCUGGAUCUACUUUUUUAAAUUCCAUAAGUGUUUGAGUUUGGAUUUGGAUACUUACAUCCUAGUUAUAUUUAUUUGGAAACUGGGGACUAGGAAGGAGCAUGAAGUUAUGUUUACGAGACUGAAGGGCCUAACUCUUGACUUUGUACAUUGAUGGAGAAUUUGGUUAUCAUCUCAUCAAAUUAUUAAUGACUCAAUUUAAUUAGAUUCACGUCACCGUAAUAACUUUUCUGAUUCUGUAGUUAAUAGUUACUCCACCGACUAGUGGAGUAAUAAAGAAUUUUACGAGUUACACUCGCCCUCAUUUAGUGCUGUAUCGAAACUAGCAUGAGAAUUUAUUCAUUCACCUGCAGACUUGUUUAGACUUCAAAACGUUUGAAGGCCUAGAAAGUAAAGCAGCAAAAAAGUAAAGCAGCAUGCAUAGGACAGCAGACCAUAACAUUUUCAAGCAAGGGGCUCGAACUCCAAAGGGACAAUUCCAGGAAAUGGCCAGGGUCCGUCGGUUAAGUGCCAGUCUCAUUCCCUUUCAUAACUCACAGUUUUUUGUAUGAGUGUUUCGAUAAAUGGACUCUGCGAAGACACUUCAAAAGCCGGCAACUUUUGAAGUGCUCCGCAGCACUUAACUACUAAACCCCCCAAACCCCCCCAAGCGAUGUGGGAACUUAACCCCACAGGGUGCCCCGCUGCUAAGAGAAGUCUCAUUCAUUCGUUCAUCAUUCAAUUGUUCCUGUGAUUUGGAGUAAAGGCAAGGCAGAAAAAGUGGCAGGGGUAAAGAUGAGAUGACAUUGACAGCAACAGUACACUCUCUGUUUUUCGGAUUUGGGGUAGGGACGGUCAUACUGCACGGUUAAGGGCCAAGAUUGGCCCUCAAAAUUUUGUGCGACUGAGAUUACACCAUGUAACUCGAUUUCCGCGCCAAGUGUGGGAUCCACCACUAUCUGUUGUGAAAAUACAUCUUGUGAAAAAAAAGUUACACGAUGUACAAAGAAAGUUACGGCCAGUUGAUAAUAACUACAAUUGGCAGGGACGGUUGCACCUGCAACCGUCCGUGCCCCGAGUCCCUGUUUUUCCAUUCCUGCCACUUCCGGAGACUCUGCUAGGACUGUCGAUGGGUUGGGCGAGUCCGAAUUCGGCUCGUUCGAUCCGGCAAAAAAUUUAAAUUUAAAAAUUAAAUUUGAAUUAAAUAUAAAUUGGGUUUGGGAUUUAUUAGGCUCAAAUUUGAUAUAGGUUCGGUCCUUUAAAUAUUUAUAUUUUGAUAUUAUAUAUAAUUAUAUAUUCAAAUAUAUUAUUACUAAAUACUAAAUAUAUAUAAAUUACAAAAUACAUUUAAAAAUUCUUUUAUGAGCUUUCUUGAGAACUAAUAUUAGUAAUUCAUAACUGAAUAUCUAACUUUUCUUAUUGGUUGAGUAAAUUUUUAUGUUGGCAUAAUAUUGGUUGAUUUUUUUUUGUCUACAAACACAAAUCAUCAAAUAUGUUUGGAUUUAAAUCACAUGGUUAUAAAAAAAAAAAAGUUCAACUUUUAAAGAUAUAUUGGAUAAUAAUCACAUGUUUUAUUAUUAUUUUUCAUGCAUUUUGAACGAAUUAAAUAUAAAUAUUGUUGAAAACUUUCUGGUUUAUAUACCUUUUAAGAACUAUUAUUUGUUCAUGUUUAGUUUUAAUAUUUGUAAAUGUUAAAUUAGUUUUACAACUUGAUAGUUAUAAUAGGUAUAUUAAGAAAAUUAAGGAGCAAUAUGUGAAAUUGGACUAAACUCGAUUAACGCUCACAACUCGAACAUUAUGUGAGUUGAGUAUGAACUUCAUAUUUAUGAACAUGAAACUCAUAGAUCGAAACCCGAAAAUGCUCCAAAUUAAAUGAAUUGAAUUUAAACUUAUGAAAGUCCGGCUCAUUGGACCGGAUUGAGAGACCUAGACUCUGCACUCCCAUGCGCUCCUUUAUCAGUACCACAUGCAUAUGCGCUUUUCCUUUUAUUCCUUUUAGGUUCCUUGGUCUUCGUUGAUACUUUUUCUCUUUUCUCUUUUUGCCUUUGUUUUUUGUCAGUACAAUUUGUUUUCGUGUUCAUGAAGCAAGAGUAUGAACUUAGAAUGCUGUGAAUACAAGUUAAUUCAAUUAAUAAAAUGAUUCAUUUCUUUAUAUAAGAGUCAUAUGUUCAAAUCAUGUUAUCGAUAUAAAAAUCGUAUUGAAAGUGAUUUAUAUAAAUCUCUACAAGCGGUCUAUAGUAACUAAUGUUACAUCUACCUAAAUUUUUUUUAUCAAAAAAAAAAAGAAUAUGAAAUGUCCAAAACAGCAAGGGCCAGUACCUAGAGAAAUCUUAAACAGCUGCCCUUGCUUUUACUCAUAAAGGCAUCCUUUUACACGGUGAAGUUGUCUAUUCUCCAUUUCCUUUCUAACGGAGCAAGUAUAAAAUUUUCUAACCUUGCCUUUGAACUGGUGGCCAUCACCUAGCUUGGUGGGGUGCCUCCCACCAAAAUAUCACAUUUAAAUAAUUUGCUUCAAAAAAAUUCAGACGGGUGUGUCAUGCACCCGUUUAAUCCGAUGAUAGUUCAAUCCUCUCCGAAUUAUCCCUGGACCUCCUUAGACCCGUCCUCUCCCCUUAAUGUAGUAUAGAUUAGAUUAUACAACUGUUGUCGUCUCCGAAAAAAUAUAUAUAUAAAAUUUUCUAGCUGGCUACCGGGCUGACAUUCAACAAAAAAAAAAAUUCCAAGCAGGCUGCUGGGCUGUCAAAAAAAUUUGUUAAUAUUUGUUAUGUGAUGUUAACAACAACGAUAAGAAGCCUGCUCUUAUAUUAAAGGUUGGCCGACUUGACUACUUACCAUCAAACAUUGACAAAGCACAGCAAUCAGCUCAGUUGAUCGACCAAGGAGGAAAAGACACACAGCGCAACGACAUUUUCAUCCUAAAAUGAUCGAAUACAUAGACAGGCCCAAGGUCGAACACUUCAAAUAUCAAGGAUCAUCAUAAGGUAGAGCAUCCAUCCCUUGUAGUACAAGUUAUAUAUGACAUGACAACAUUAUACAUACGUAUUUAGCAUCAUAAGGUAGAGGGACUGUUCAAACUACCAUGCAGACAUCUUUGAUUCGCAAGAUACAUUCAGCAUUGCAACUGACAGUGGCAAGUCAACAACUUUGAUGCUUAAAGGGGAACUUCCUAGUAAAGUCAGUUGAGACU
rnacentral:lncRNA from 1 species